AGUGAACGCUGGCGGUAGGCCUAACACAUGCAAGUCGAACGGCAGCACAGUAAGAGCUUGCUCUUACGGGUGGCGAGUGGCGGACGGGUGAGGAAUACAUCGGAAUUUACUUUUUCGUGGGGGAUAACGUAGGGAAACUUACGCUAAUACCGCAUACGACCUACGGGUGAAAGCAGGGGAUCUUCGGACCUUGCGCGAUUGAAUGAGCCGAUGUCGGAUUAGCUAGUUGGCGGGGUAAAGGCCCACCAAGGCGACGAUCCGUAGCUGGUCUGAGAGGAUGAUCAGCCACACUGGAGCUGAGACACGGUCCAGACUCCUACGGGAGGCAGCAGUGGGGAAUAUUGGACAAUGGGCGCAAGCCUGAUCCAGCCAUACCGCGUGGGUGAAGAAGGCCUUCGGGUUGUAAAGCCCUUUUGUUGGGAAAGAAAAGCAGCAGGUUAAUACCCCGCUGUUCUGACGGUACCCAAAGAAUAAGCACCGGCUAACUUCGUG
rnacentral:rRNA from 1 species